CACGAACGCUGGCGGCGUGCUUAACACAUGCAAGUCGAACGGAAAGGCCCUGCUUUUGUGGGGUGCUCGAGUGGCGAACGGGUGAGUAACACGUGAGUAACCUGCCCUUGACUUUGGGAUAACUUCAGGAAACUGGGGCUAAUACCGGAUAGGAGCUCCUGCUGCAUGGUGGGGGUUGGAAAGUUUCGGCGGUUGGGGAUGGACUCGCGGCUUAUCAGCUUGUUGGUGGGGUAGUGGCUUACCAAGGCUUUGACGGGUAGCCGGCCUGAGAGGGUGACCGGCCACAUUGGGACUGAGAUACGGCCCAGACUCCUACGGGAGGCAGCAGUGGGGAAUAUUGCACAAUGGGCGGAAGCCUGAUGCAGCAACGCCGCGUGCGGGAUGACGGCCUUCGGGUUGUAAACCGCUUUCGCCUGUGACGAAGCGUGAGUGACGGUAAUGGGUAAAGAAGCACCGGCUAACUACGUG
rnacentral:rRNA from 1 species